UACGUAGGGAGCUAGCGUUGUCCGGAAUCAUUGGGCGUAAAGCGCGCGUAGGCGGCUUUGCAAGUCGGGUGUGAAAUCCCCAGGCUUAACCUGGGAACUGCAUUCGAGACUGCAUUGCUAGAGUAUGGGAGAGGGAAGUGGAAUUUCCGGUGUAGCGGUGAAAUGCGUAGAUAUCGGAAGGAACAUCAGUGGCGAAAGCGACUUCCUGGACCAAUACUGACGCUCAUGUGCGAAAGCGUGGGGAGCAAACAGG
rnacentral:rRNA from 1 species